rnacentral:rRNA from 1 species
GCUAAUGCAGACGAGGAGGGAUCAUUACCAGAGAGCCUUUUGGCACUCCACCCAUUGUGAACAUACCUACGUUUCCCUCGGCGGGCUCAGCGCGAGGCGGUCUUCCGCCCUCGCGUCCGCCGGGGGCACCCAAACUCGAAUUUAUAUCGUGUAUCUCUGAGGGGCGAAAGCCCGUAAAACAAAUGAAUCAAAACUUUCAACAACGGAUCUCUUGGCCCUUGGCUUCGAUGAAGAACGCAGCGAAAUGCGAUAAGUAAUGUGAAUUGCAGAAUUCAGUGAAUCAUCGAAUCUUUGAACGCACAUUGCGCCCGCCGGCACUCCGGCGGGCAUGCCUGUCCGAGCGUCAUUUCAACCCUCAGGCCCUCCCUUUCGGGGGAACGGCCUGGUGUUGGGGCCCGGCGACCGCUCCGGCGGUCCCCGUCCACUAAGUUCAGUGGCGAUCGCGCCGCACCCUCCCGUGCAUAGUAUCACACCUCGGAGUGGAGAGCGUCUCGGCCACGCCUCGAAUGCAGUGUCUGUGUGAAGUUGAGAUCCGGUCCGAUCACCAUCUCAACUUAACUAUCUUGUUUUAAAACAACACACAAACAC